rnacentral:rRNA from 1 species
GAUCCUGGCUCAGGACGAACGCUGGCGGCGUGCCUAACACAUGCAAGUCGAACGGAGAUAAAGAUUUCGGUUUUUAUCUUAGUGGCGCACGGGUGAGUAACACGUGAAUAACCUGACCCAAAGAGGGGGAUAACACCUGGAAACAGGUGCUAAUACCGCAUAAGACCACAAUGUCGCAUGACGAAGGGGUCAAAGAAAAUCGCUUUGGGAGGGGUUCGCGUCCCAUUAGGUAGUAGGCGGGGUAACGGCCCACCUAGCCGACGAUGGGUAG